AACGAACGCUGGCGGCAUGCCUAACACAUGCAAGUCGAACGAGACCUUCGGGUCUAGUGGCGCACGGGUGAGUAACGCGUGAGAACCUGCCCUUAGGUUCGGAAUAACUCCCCGAAAGGGGUGCUAAUACCGGAUAAUGUCUUCGGACCAAAGAUUUAUCGCCUUUGGAUGGGCCCGCGUUGGAUUAGCUAGUUGGUAGGGUAAAAGCCUACCAAGGCGACGAUCCAUAGCUGGUCUGAGAGGAUGAUCAGCCACACUGGGACUGAGACACGGCCCAGACUCCUACGGGAGGCAGCAGUGGGGAAUAUUGGACAAUGGGCGAAAGCCUGAUCCAGCAGUGCCGCGUGAGUGAUGAAGGCCUUAGGGUUGUAAAGCUCUUUUACCCGGGAUGAUAAUGACAGUACCGGGAGAAUAAGCUCCGGCUAACUCCGUG
rnacentral:rRNA from 1 species